rnacentral:rRNA from 1 species
GACGAACGCUGGCGGCGUGCUUAACACAUGCAAGUCGAACGGAAAGGCCCUGCUUGCAGGGUACUCGAGUGGCGAACGGGUGAGUAACACGUGGGUGAUCUGCCCUGCACUUCGGGAUAAGCCUGGGAAACUGGGUCUAAUACCGGAUAGGAGCCAUUUUUAGUGUGAUGGUUGGAAAGUUUUUUCGGUGUAGGAUGAGCUCGCGGCCUAUCAGCUUGUUGGUGGGGUAAUGGCCUACCAAGGCGGCGACGGGUAGCCGGCCUGAGAGGGUGGACGGCCACAUUGGGACUGAGAUACGGCCCAGAAUCCUACGGGAGGCAGCAGUGGGGAAUAUUGCACAAUGGGCGCAAGCCUGAUGCAGCGACGCCGCGUGGGGGAUGACGGCCUUCGGGUUGUAAACUCCUCUCGCUAGGGACGAAGCUUUUUGUGACGGUACCUAGAUAAGAAGCACCGGCUAACUACGUG